UACGUAGGUGGCAAGCGUUGUCCGGAAUUAUUGGGCGUAAAGAGCUCGUAGGCGGCUUGUUGCGUCGACCGUGAAAACCCGUGGCUUAACUGCGGGCUUGCGGUCGAUACGGGCGGGCUGGAGUUCGGUAGGGGAGACUGGAAUUCCUGGUGUAGCGGUGAAAUGCGCAGAUAUCAGGAGGAACACCGGUGGCGAAGGCGGGUCUCUGGGCCGAUACUGACGCUGAGGAGCGAAAGCGUGGGGAGCGAACAGG
rnacentral:rRNA from 1 species